rnacentral:tRNA from 55 species
UGGCCCGUUGGUCAAGCGGUUAAGACACCGCCCUUUCACGGCGGUAACACGGGUUCGAAUCCCGUACGGGUCAU